rnacentral:rRNA from 1 species
CACGGGAAGCUUGCUUCCUGGUGGCGAGCGGCGGACGGGUGAGUAAUGCAUAGAAAUCUGCCCGGUAGUGGGGGAUAACCUGGGGAAACCCAGGCUAAUACCGCAUACGUCCUACGGGAGAAAGCAGGGGAUCUUCGGACCUUGCGCUAUCGGAUGAGUCUAUGUCGGAUUAGCUUGUUGGUGAGGUAAUGGCUCACCAAGGCGACGAUCCGUAGCUGGUCUGAGAGGAUGAUCAGCCACAUCGGGACUGAGACACGGCCCGAACUCCUACGGGAGGCAGCAGUGGGGAAUAUUGGACAAUGGGCGAAAGCCUGAUCCAGCCAUGCCGCGUGUGUGAAGAAGGCCUUCGGGUUGUAAAGCACUUUCAGUGGGGAAGAAAGCCUUGAGGCCAAUACCCUCGAGGAAGGACAUCACCCACAAAAGAAGCACCGGCUAACUCCGUGCCAGCAGCCGCGGUAAUACAGAGGGUGCAAGCGUUGAUCGGAAUUACUGGGCGUAAAGCGCGCGUAGGUGGCUUGAUAAGCCGGUUGUGAAAGCCCCGGGCUCAACCUGGGAACGGCAUCCGGAACUGUCAGGCUAGAGUGCAGGAGAGGAAGGUAGAAUUCCCGGUGUAGCGGUGAAAUGCGUAGAGAUCGGGAGGAAUACCAGUGGCGAAGGCGGCCUUCUGGACUGACACUGACACUGAGGUGCGAAAGCGUGGGUAGCAAACAGGAUUAGAUACCCUGGUAGUCCACGCCGUAAACGAUGUCGACUAGCCGUUGGGAGCCUCGAGUUCUUAGUGGCGCAGUUAACGCGAUAAGUCGACCGCCUGGGGAGUACGGCCGCAAGGUUAAAACUCAAAUGAAUUGACGGGGGCCCGCACAAGCGGUGGAGCAUGUGGUUUAAUUCGAUGCAACGCGAAGAACCUUACCUACCCUUGACAUCGUGCGAACUUUCCAGAGAUGGAUUGGUGCCUUCGGGAACGCACAGACAGGUGCUGCAUGGCUGUCGUCAGCUCGUGUUGUGAAAUGUUGGGUUAAGUCCCGUAACGAGCGCAACCCCUGUCCCUAUUUGCCAGCGAUUCGGUCGGGAACUCUAGGGAGACUGCCGGUGACAAACCGGAGGAAGGUGGGGACGACGUCAAGUCAUCAUGGCCCUUACGGGUAGGGCUACACACGUGCUACAAUGGCAGGUACAAAGGGUUGCAAGACGGCGACGUGGAGCUAAUCCCAUAAAGCCUGCCUCAGUCCGGAUCGGAGUCUGCAACUCGACUCCGUGAAGUCGGAAUCGCUAGUAAUCGUGAAUCAGAAUGUCACGGUGAAUACGUUCCCGGGCCUUGUACACACCGCCCGUCACACCAUGGGAGUGGACUGCACCAGAAGUGGUUA